rnacentral:lncRNA from 1 species
CUGCCUCGAUAGCUACCAAGUCCUGAUUUUGUGGAGCUGUCAAUGUCCUAAAAAUGACUGUGGGAGCUCAGAAAGCUGAGGCAGGAGGAUUGCUUGAGUCCAGGAUUUUUGGCAUCAGCCUGGGACGCACAAGAAGACCUUAAAACAAAACGGAAGUAAUGUGACGUUAUUCCACAGAACUUUGACUAUGCUAACGGUAGAAUGAAGCCACAAGUGUAGUAUUUUGUUAUUAUCCCAAUGCAGCCUCAUUUUAUAGGAGACUAGAUGUUAUAAAUGAGGUCAUAAAUAAAAGAAAAUGGC